CCCUUAGACGUUCUGGGCCGCACGCGCGCUACACUGACACAGGCAACGAGCUUUCCUUUACCGAAAGGUAUGGGUAAUCUUUUGAAACUGCGUCGUGCUGGGGAUAGAUCCUUGCAAUUUUUGAUCUUAAACGAGGAAUUCCUAGUAAGCGCGAGUCAUCAACUCGCGUUGAUUACGUCCCUGCCCUUUGUACACACCGCCCGUCGCUACUACCGAUUGAAUGGCUUAGUGAGGCCUCAGGAUCCGCGCUUAAUGUGUGGAGAAUUUGGACAAACUACGUCAUUUAGAGGAAGUAAAAGUCGUAACA
rnacentral:rRNA from 1 species